rnacentral:rRNA from 1 species
AUUGAGCGCCGGCGGCGUGCUUAACACAUGCAAGUCGAUCGGUAACAGGUGUAGCAAUACAUGCUGACGAGAGGCGGACGGGUGAGGAACGCUUGGGAAUCUGCCUAUCAGCGGGGGACAACCCGGGGAAACCCGGGCUAAUACCGCAUACGCUCUACGGAGGAAAGCAGGGGACCGCAAGGCCUGGCACUGAUAGAUGAGCCCAAGUCGGAUUAGCUAGUUGGAGGGGUAACGGCCCACCAAGGGGACGAUCCGUAGCUGGUCUGAGAGGACGAUCAGCCACACCGGAACUGGGACACGGUCCGGAUUCCUACGGGAGGCAGCAGUGGGGAAUAUUGGACAAUGGGCGAAAGCCUGAUCCAGCGACGCCGCGUGGGUGAAGAAGGCCUGCGGGUUGUAAAGCCCUUUCGGUGGGGACGAAAGCUCUUGCCCUGACAAGGCAGGAGGUUGACUUAACCUACAUAAGAAGCACCGGCUAACUCUGUGCCAGCAGCCGCAGUAACAC